rnacentral:tRNA from 2 species
GGGAAAAAAGCAUAAGUAUGCGGUUAACUUGAAAUUAAUAGAUGGUGGUUUAAUCUGCCUUUUCUCG